GGGAGGGGAAGAGGGGGUAGUGGGGAGAGAGAGGCGAGAGUGCGAGCGAGGGAGAGAAAUUAUGCUAAAGAUGCUUCGCUGUGUCCCUCUUGAGCAGCUGCGAUCUGGAGAAAAGGGCAUUGCUUUAGUUCUCCUUGCCUCACCCCAAAGCUUUUCUGGAGGCUAGAAAGCCAGAACGUACUGGCUUAAAAACAAACCCAAGUCUCCCAGCAAGCCACUUCCUCAAGCGUCUCUAGCUGGGGGGCAGUAGUUUAGGCUUUCAAAAUGCAGGCGCUUAAGUAUUCUAAUGCUGGGUAGAUUCCCGAGACCGGGGCGUGCAUAAUCUACUGGGCUAAAGGAACCCCAGCGCCCUCGCCGCCUAGGAGCUGCGGUCAGCUUCGCAAGCCCACAGGCGGCGCGGGCCACCGUAAUCCAAGCAAAGUUAACACAAUAACAUCAUUUAAUUACCCGGCGAGCCCAUAAAUCUCCCAGUUAUGAGGCUUCAGAAGGGCCCUGUUAGAUUGCAAAACAAAACUAGAACUCUAGGAGCUGAGGUUUCAAGGUUACCAAAUGCUCCCCCCAUUAGCGACUUGGAAAGAAGUGGGGGGGGGGCGGUGCGGCAAGAUUGUUGCCGAUGCCUAUAGUGAGCAAACUCCUGGGAGCAGGGAGUACGUAAACCUUGCGGGACGACACCCGCAGAUUUUUUUCCUAACGCGCGCGCGCGGGCGCGCGCGCGGGCGGACACACACACACACACACACACACACCACACACACACACACGCUUCUCUCGAAUCCCUAGAAAGGAACACCUCAGGUUACGGCUGUGGGUAGAUGACACGGACUCUCGCCCGAUAUCUGUGUAUCCAAAACUUGUUUCUGAAAAGACAAGAAUCCUGGCGACUUUUAAAACGCUCGAAAGCCGCAGCUUUCAAAAGUGCACCUUCGUCUAUCCAGAAUUUCCGUUGUUUGGUAAUCCUGGGUCGGGGACUGGAAGUGGAGCUGCGGAGAAAGAAGGCUACCAAGAUAAAUCUGCUCCUGGGAAUUGCAUUUUGGUGUGCCUGGGAGCAGUCACGUGCUGGAGAGUUGAAAGGUGAGUUGCAUAUUCUCGCUGCCUUGUUCCCUGCCUCUCUCCCUCCUCCCUCUCUCCCACCAUCCCUCCCCCUUCCCUCGAUCAAUAUUGGCGAUCUCAGGGAAAUCAUGAAAUCGUAUUGGCUUCUUUGUGUAUAA
rnacentral:lncRNA from 1 species